rnacentral:rRNA from 1 species
UCUGGUGGCGAUAGCGAGAAGGUCACACCCGUUCCCAUACCGAACACGGAAGUUAAGCUUCUCAGCGCCGAUGGUAGUUG